GACAGAGGGUGCAAACGUUGUUCGGAAUUACUGGGCGUAAAGCGCGUGUAGGUGGCCGUGUAAGUCGGAUGUGAAAGCCCUCGGCUCAACUGGGGAAGCGCACCCGAAACUACAAGGCUAGAGUCUCGGAGAGGAUCGUGGAAUUCUCGGUGUAGAGGUGAAAUUCGUAGAUAUCGAGAGGAACACCGGUGGCGAAGGCGGCGAUCUGGACGGUGACUGACACUGAGACGCGAAAGCGUGGGGAGCAAACAGG
rnacentral:rRNA from 1 species